CUGCUGCUCCAGAGGGAAGACUAUUCCUCCGAUGUUCAUGUUGCUGCAAUGGAGCAUCACAGCUGAGGUUAAUUCUCUGCAACGCGAACAAAUGGGACCCAUCCUGCUUCAUGUCUGAUCUCACAUUAUACCAGGUGUUUAUUAAUACACAGCUAGUGGAUGGAUGCAGUACAGGAGGUUCUGGCCUAGCUGGACUGGUCUCCACCUGAGCCUCUCUCACCUCAUUGUAUCCAGUACUGAACAGCUGCUAAUGACCGGUCCAGUCAAGAGGAGAACCACAUAAUCCGCACAUCAUUUAUUCAAGCAGUAUCGGGUUCUGCUGCGGCCGCAGGACGACGACGAUCCGACAGAACAGACGCUUCCUGCUUUCUUGUUUAAAUUUGUUAACGGUGUUUAUCGAUGAUCAGGCUUCAGAAGUGGGCCUGGUCCGCGAGGACGAAACCUUUUAUGUAUUUAAUGUUUAAUAAAUGUGCGCGCGUGCGCCGCGCUGC